rnacentral:rRNA from 1 species
CCCUUAGAUGUUCUGGGCCGCACGCGUGCUACACUGAGUGGAUCAGCGGGUCAGGUUGCGCGAAAGUGUUUCCUAAUCUUGAAAUCCGCUCGUGAUGGGGAUUGACGGUUGCAAUUUUCCGUCAUGAACGAGGAAUACCUUGUAAGCGCGCGUCAUCAUCCCGCGCUGAAUACGUCCCUGCCCUUUGUACACACCGCCCGUCGCUCCUACCGAUUGAGUGGUCCGGUGAGGCUUUGGGAUCUGAGCGGAAAGAGCGUUUCGCUGUUUCUGCUCGGAAAACUCAGUCGAACCUUAUCAUUUAGAGGAAGGAGAAGUCGUAACA